rnacentral:rRNA from 1 species
UACGGAGGGUGCAAGCGUUAUCCGGAUUUACUGGGUUUAAAGGGUGUGCAGGCGGGCUUUUAAGUCAGUGGUGAAAUCUCCGGGCUCAACCUGGAAACUGCCAUUGAUACUAUUAGUCUUGAAUUCUGUUGAGGUAGGCGGAAUAAGUCAUGUAGCGGUGAAAUGCAUAGAUAUGACUUAGAACACCAAUUGCGAAGGCAGCUUACUAAAGUAUGAUUGACGCUGAGGCACGAAAGCGUGGGGAUCAAACAGG